rnacentral:rRNA from 1 species
CAGUCGCCGCGGGAAUACGUAGGUGGCAAGCGUUGUCCGGAAUUAUUGGGCGUAAAGGGCUCGCAGGCGGUUUCUUAAGUCUGAUGUGAAAGCCCCCGGCUCAACCGGGGAGGGUCAUUGGAAACUGGGAAACUUGAGUGCAGAAGAGGAGAGUGGAAUUCCACGAGUAGCGGUGAAAUGCGUAGAGAUGUGGAGGAACACCAGUGGCGAAGGCGACUCUCUGGUCUGUAACUGACGCUGAGGAGCGAAAGCGUGGGGAGCGAACAGGAUUAGAUACCCCCGUAGUCCCUGUCUCUUAUAC